GGGCCAAGGUGGGCCAGGGGUGGUGUUGGGACAGCUGCAUUUAAAAAGGCAUCUCCAAGAGCUUCCAUCGAAGACUGCCUCUUGGUGCAGCACGAGUAGA
rnacentral:pre_miRNA from 1 species